rnacentral:lncRNA from 1 species
GCUUUGACCCUGGUUGUGAAACUAAGCCACUUAGGAAAUCAUUGUUAUUUUGUACAGCGGGUGAAUCUGUGAUUUGGUGAGCACCCUGUGAAGAAACUGGAACAAGAGAACCCUGCCGUGAUAGGUUCCCAGAGUUAAACUGUGCAGGUUGGCUGUAGGGAUUAGCACCUGGCUGUGGCGGUUGGCUAUAAGGAUUAACACUCGGCUGCACAGAUUGGCUAUAUGCAUUAGAACUAGGUUGUCCAACUUGGUCAUAUGCGUUAGCACCAGGCAGUGCAGGUUGGCCGUACGGAUUAGCACUUGGCUGUGUCGGUUGGCUGAACAUAUUAGCACUUGAUUGUGCCUGUUGACCAUAGAUACCUGGCUGUGUUGUUUGGCUAUAAGCACUUCCCUGAUUUUGAGUUGACAUUUCUUGAGGAAGAA